rnacentral:rRNA from 1 species
AUACGGAGGAUCCGAGCGUUAUCCGGAUUUAUUGGGUUUAAAGGGUGCGCAGGCGGCCAUUUAAGUCAGCGGUUAAAUCGUGGGGCUCAACCCCAUUCUGCCGUUGAUACUGGGUGGCUUGAUUGCGGUCGAGGCUGGCGGAAUUCGUUGUGUAGCGGUGGAAUGCAUAGAUAUGACGAAGAACACCGAUUGCGUAGGCAGCUGACCAGACCGCAAAUGACGCUCAUGCACGAAAGUGCGGGGAUCGAACAGGAUUAGAUACCCUGGUAGUCCGCACAGUAAACGAUGAAUACUUGUUUUCGGCGAUAUAAUGUCGGAGGCAAAGCGAAAGCGAUAAGUAUUCCACCUGGGGAGUACGCCGGCAACGGUGAAACUCAAAGGAAUUGGCGGGG